rnacentral:rRNA from 1 species
UACACGCUGUGACUAGCAUAUCAAUAAGCGGAGGAAAAGAAACUAACAAGGAUUCCCCUAGUAACGGCGAGUGAAGCGGGAAGAGCUCAAAUUUGAAAUCUUAAAGGGGUUUCCCUUUACGAAUUGUAGUUUAAAGAAGUGUUUUCUGUUGAGGUUUUGGUAAAAGUUCUUUGGAAUAGGACAUCAUAGAGGGUGAGAAUCCCGUAUUUGACCUUUACUUUCAACUUUGUGAUACACUUUCAAAGAGUCGGAUUGUUUGGGAAUGCAGUCCAAAAUGGGUGGUAAAUUUCAUCUAAAGCUAAAUAUUGGCGAGAGACCGAUAGCGAACAAGUACCGUGAGGGAAAGAUGAAAAGAACUUUGAAAAGAGAGUUAAACAGUACGUGAAAUUGUCAAAAGGGAAGCGUUUGACACCAGUGUUGUUUUUCCUGAAAAUCAAUUAAAGAACUGUUUAUGCUAAGCUGUUUAGACUUUAUCAGCUAUCUGUUUAGUUUUGAGCUUUUCUUUAAUGCACUUUUCAGUUAACAAGUCAACAUCAAUUUCUUUUGCUGUAAAAAAGCUUGAGGAAGGUGGCUUGAGAUCCGUCUUAAGUGUUUAUAGCCUCUUGCCUAUGCAGUCGGAGAGAUUGAGGUCUGCAGCGUAGAUCCUUCGGGGCUAAAUGCAUUUGUGCUAAGUUAUAGCAUUUCAUAGACAACUUGUUGACUAUGAUUUGUCUUGUAGCUUACUCGCUUAUGUUAUUUUACCUACGCUUAGGAUGUUGACGAGACUGUCGAUCUC